rnacentral:rRNA from 1 species
AGUGAACGCUGGCGGUAGGCCUAACACAUGCAAGUCGAACGGCAGCACAGUAAGAGCUUGCUCUUACGGGUGGCGAGUGGCGGACGGGUGAGGAAUACAUCGGAAUCUACUUUUUCGUGGGGGAUAACGUAGGGAAACUUACGCUAAUACCGCAUACGACCUACGGGUGAAAGCAGGGGAUCUUCGGACCUUGCGCGAUUGAAUUAGCCGAUGUCGGAUUAGCUAGUUGGCGGGGUAAAGGCCCACCAAGGCGACGAUCCGUAGCUGGUCUGAGAGGAGGAUCAGCGACACUGGAACUGGGACACGGUCCAGACUCCUACGGGAGGCAGCAGUGGGGAAUAUUGGACAAUGGGCGGAAGCCUGAUCCAGCCAUACCGCGUGGGUGAAGAAGGCCUUCGGGUUGUAAAGCCCUUUUGUUGGGAAAGAAAAGCAGCAGGUUAAUACCCCGCUGUUCUGACGGUACCCAAAGAAUAAGCACCGGCUAACUUCGUG